rnacentral:lncRNA from 1 species
ACUAAAGUAUGCGAAAGAGAUGUUUGGACAAGUCAAGUUAACAUUCCAACAAGAUUGGAAGGGUUAAAAGUCAGUUUAAAAGAGUUAAAAAGGUUUUAGUAUUUAUCGGAGUGAAAUAGAAUCGAAAAGAUGCGAAAAUCUGAAAUUUGGAGUUGUGUUACCAGAUUAACAUCAAAAGUGUACCGGUACAUAGUGUAAAACCGAAAGAAGUAGCUCUCGGGUUGAGUAGAAAAAGGCUGUGUACCGGUGACAGGAUUUCAUGUAUCGAUACAGUG